rnacentral:misc_RNA from 1 species
AACCAUAGAAACCUGCGGAGUACCUGCGGAAGGAUCAUCACUGAGAUGGUGCUCUCUCCACCCUUUGUGCCCUGUUUCGUGGCGUUUUCAUGCCACAUUUUGUCACUACUACGCCUGAGCCUGAUCUGCUUAAAAGCUAAAAACUUGCACACAACUUUUAACAACGGAUCU